rnacentral:rRNA from 1 species
AUGCUGUCUGUGAGCUCGCCGAGGAUGCACAUGAGCCGGAACGCCGUGGAUUUGGGCCUGCUGGCCGCCUGCCGCUGCCGCCGCUGGGCCGCGCGCCCGGCGCCCAGGCGGCGCGCGCCAUGUGUUUGUUUCGUGGCCGCACCCAGCCAGACAGGUCUCGCGGCGAUCGACGUGCCGGCGGCAGAGACCAUCGCUAGCGCGGCGGCCGGGACGGCGAGGCUCCCCGAGCGCGUGUCCAUCGCUUCGCUCUUGGAUGUCGUCUCCGACGACCUGCUCAAGCUCAACAACAACCUCAAAUCGCUUAUUGGUGCAGAAAAUCCAGUUUUAGUAUCUGCCGCAGAACAAAUUUUUGGUGCUGGUGGAAAGAGAUUAAGACCAGCAUUGGUUUUUCUGGUGUCCAGAGCAACAGCGGAAGUAGCUGGCUUAUCGGAGCUAACUACAGAACAUAAACGCUUGGCAGAGAUCAUAGAAAUGAUUCACACUGCGAGUUUAAUACAUGAUGAUGUCAUAGAUGAUAGUGGAAUGCGCAGAGGGAAAGAAACCAUUCAUCAGCUAUAUGGAACACGGAUAGCCGUGCUUGCUGGCGAUUUCAUGUUUGCACAAUCUUCUUGGUUUCUGGCAAACCUAGAGAACAUUGAGGUUAUAAAGCUCAUCAGCCAGGUGAUCAAGGACUUUGCUAGCGGGGAGAUAAAGCAGCAAUCGACCCUGUUCGACUGCGACGUCACCCUGGACGACUACCUGCUCAAGAGCUACUACAAGACAGCCUCCCUGCUCGCUUCAAGCACGAGGUCCGCGGCCAUAUUCAGCGGGGUGAGCACCGCCGUGUGCGAGCAGAUGUACGAGUACGGCAGGAACCUGGGGCUGUCGUUCCAGGUGGUCGACGACAUCCUCGACUUCACGCAGUCGGCGGAGCAGCUGGGCAAGCCGGCGGGUAGCGACCUGGCCAAGGGGAACCUGACGGCCCCGGUCAUCUUCGCGCUGCAGGAGUCGCCAGAGCUGAGGGAGAUCAUCGACUCCGAGUUCUGCGACACCGGCUCGCUGUCGGCGGCCAUGGAGCUGGUGCACAGGAGCGGCGGGAUCCGGCGGGCGCAGGAGCUGGCCAAGGAGAAGGGCGACCUGGCGCUCCAGAACCUGCAGUGCCUCCCCAGGAGCCAUUUCAGGACCGCCCUCGAGAACAUGGUGAAGUACAACCUUGAGAGGAUCGACUAG